GGGCGUUUAGCUCAGUUGGUAGAGCAUCAGCCUUACAAGCUGAGGGUCGCCGGUUCGAGCCCGGCAGCGCCCA
rnacentral:tRNA from 1 species